GGAGGAGGAGAAGGAGAAAGGCGAAAGCUUUUUGCAUUAGAAAAACCAAAAAAAAAACCCUGAAUCUCCCCACAUAUUCACGCUCUCUCCGAAGAACUCCCUCUCUCUCUCUCUCUCUCUCUCUCUCUGUCUGUGUCGGCACGCGGUUGCUCUCGCAGGCGAUCCCGGAGAUUCGGAAUCUUGCCGACGAGAGAUGUCCAGGGCCGACAGGGAGCUCGUGUACGUCGAUCACUGCAAGGGCGCCAAUGGCCUCGACAAGGUCGUCCUCAGAGAGGUCCGAGGCUGUUCCGCCGAGGUGUACCUUUAUGGUGGCCAUGUAACAUCUUGGAAGAAUGAACACGGGGAAGAAUUGCUUUUUCUCAGUAACAAGGCUAAUUUUAAUCCCCCAAAAGCAAUCCGCGGUGGUAUUCCUAUCUGUUUUCCUCAAUUCUCAAAUCUUGGCCCUCUUGAAUCACACGGAUUUGCAAGGAAUAGGUUUUGGAGCAUUGAUAAUGAUCCCCCACCUUUUCCUACAAAUAGCUCCAACAGGGCGUUCAUUGAUCUUAUCCUAAAGCACUCAGAAGAAGAUGUCAAGAUCUGGCCCCACAGGUACGAGUAUCGUUUGAGGAUAACUUUGGGACCUGGAGGAGAUCUGAUGUUAACUUCUCGCAUUCGAAAUAUGAACACCGAUGGAAAGCCAUUCUCGUUCACAUUUGCAUACCACACCUAUUUUGCUGUUACCGAUAUCAGUGAAGUGCGUGUUGAGGGACUAGAGACGCUGGACUAUCUGGAUAACCUGAAGAACAGGGAGCGGUUCACAGAACAAGGGGAUGCAAUAACAUUUGAAUCAGAAAUUGACAGGGUGUAUCUCAGCACACCAACAAAGAUCGCUAUUUUGGACCAUGAACGAAAGAGAACAUUUGUCUUGCGCAAAGAUGGACUUCCAGAUGCCGUGGUAUGGAACCCCUGGGAUAAGAAAGCAAAAGCCAUGCCGGAUUUUGGGGAUGAUGAAUUUAAGCGUAUGUUGUGCGUUGAGGCUGCCUGUAUUGAGAAGCCCAUCACGUUGAAACCUGGUGAGGAGUGGAAAGGAAGACAGGAACUUUCCGCUGUUCCAUCCAGUUACUGUAGCGGCCAACUUGACCCACGAAGAGCACUGCAAUCUGGUUAAAAGGUUGAUCAUUGUAUCAUGUCUCUUGUACAGCAAAUGUGGUGGCAUUCGGUCAUUUACAAAUUAUUAGUGGCAUGCACUCUCUACAUUCUGAAUUGGUGCUUUUGGCGAACUAAUGCCAGUGUUUUUCUGAGGGCAAGUCAUCGUUCAAACUGUUCAUAUUUCAUUGAAGCACCCUUUGCUUUGAUUCCUAAAGAAUGGAAGACGCAGCAUUACUGGGCUUGGUUUUAUUUUGGUUUUAUUAUGUAAAUUUUUAGAUCUUUCCGGAGGGGAAAAACAAUAUGAGAAAGUCCUGGCUGCUACUUUUUUUUUUUUGCUUCCAUUUUUCUAUUUUUCUUCCCAAAGCUGAUUGUAAUCUUCCUUUCACAAAUCUUGUCUCCAUUCACAAAAAACUCCUCUGUUCUUUGACAUUCUGCAGGCACACCCUAGCAGCUUUAUCGUUCCUUUGCCUGAUAUUAUUAUAUGUUAUAGCCUCUUUCAUGAACAA